GUGUUCCUGCGGUGACCGUCCUCCGAUUGGUUCCUCUGGUUGUCUUGGUGAUGAUCGUCAUGACAACACUGCUGUUGCUAAACAGGAGAAGAUCUUCUGCUGGGUCAGGGGAUGGAGGACAGAACCACACAGGUAGAACCACAAAUGAAGAGGAGAACCGCACAGGCCCAAGCCCUGGGCCAAGGGCAGUCUUCUACUCCGCAGCAAACUCAGUGUUUGUGCAGACAGGCGACAGUGACUAUGACGACAUCGGAUGAGAAUAAAUGUAUGCUGAAGUUACACAUCACAGCCAGACACAACACCACUACUCUGUUUGUGUGUGUGUGUGUGUGUGUGUGU